UGGGGAAUUUUGGACAAUGGGCGCAAGCCUGAUCCAGCCAUGCCGCGUGCGGGAAGAAGGCCUUCGGGUUGUAAACCGCUUUUGUCAGGGAAGAAACGCUCUGGGCUAAUACCCUGGGGUAAUGACGGUACCUGAAGAAUAAGCACCGGCUAACUACGUGCCAGCAGCCGCGGUAAUACGUAGGGAGCAAGCGUUGUUCGGAUUUACUGGGCGUAAAGGGCGCGUAGGCGGCGCGGUAAGCCACUUGUGAAAUCUCUGAGCUUAACUCAGAACGGCCAAGUGAUACUGCAGUGCUAGAGUGCAGAAGGGGCAAUCGGAAUUCUUGGUGUAGCGGUGAAAUGCGUAGAUAUCAAGAGGAACACCUGAGGUGAAGACGGGUUGCUGGGCUGACACUGACGCUGAGGCGCGAAAGCUAGGGGAGCAAACGGGAUUAGAUACCCACGUAGUCCCUGAGCGGGCUGGCAAGGCGCAU
rnacentral:rRNA from 1 species